CCUUUCACAAAGAGAGCACUCUUAAGAUAGUGACGGUCUGUCACAUAAAAUCCCAAGAUGGCUCAAGAUGUAGUUUUUAGGGUUCAUGUAAAGCUUUCAGCCCGGAUAACACAUUUAAAUGUUGAACCAGAGACAUCUUCCAAAAUAAGGCAGCCUAACCAAAACCUGUCUUUAUAAAAGAUAGACUGUAUAACACAUUCUUGGUUGCAGGUGUUCAGCACGUGAAUGUCUUAUGGUAACGCGCCUUCCACGGUGUCAUACUAUUUAAAUUUUCCUCUCUAAGGGUUUUUUCUAUUGCUUCAUAUUGAUAGUGUAAAUGACUUGUAAAGUGGCUUCUAACUUUAUGUUUGGGAUUUACCUCCUGAUGUUUUCUGAGUUGCCUUCCUCAUAAUCUAUUUGCCUUUUCUCAUAUUUGCAAUAAUCUUGUUAAAAGUGUCAAAGUUUUUCUCAACCAGCCAAUCAAUACGCUGUUCAUUUCUUUUUUGAUGAUUUGUAUUUCAGUAAGUACCUCAGCAUGACAGUAAGAAGUUGAUAUCUUGCCGUUCUCCGUGGCUUGACCUCAUGGCCCCUAAUCUUGACAGCUUGCCCCAUUAAAUCUUCUCUAUUGUAUCAGCAUUUUCAUUCCUGACUCACAAAAUGGUCACUGUGGUUUCUUGCUGUGGUUGUUUUUUUUUCUUUGCACUUAAUGAACAACUCAAGGUUUGCGAACAAGCAGCAAGCUUCCGUCCUAAAGGUAAGGGUUUAUGGCAGGGAUUAGCUUAACUACAGCUGGAAUUGGUUCAGCCAUUGUUCCAUGCAGAACAUCUUCAUUCUCACAUUGCUCAGUUUUUUCACAAAAAGUAUUUUUAUGAAAUAUGUUAUAAAUUUACAACUCAUACACCCAACACAACUUUAGGUAUUACGUUAGCAUACUAAAUGUUUGGCUCCAAAACAAAUAUUUUGUAAGCAAACUAAACAUUUAACUUGAAGCAAAAAUAUUUAAUUGGCUAGAAAACUAACUAUUUAAUUAGUAAGUUUGUAAACAGUUAGCUAGCUCAGACCUAACUGAAUAUUUAGCUAGGCCAGAGUGAAAUAUAAGUCUUGCUGUUUGUAGCUGCCUUCAACCAGCCUGAUGUCAAUGCACAACAAGAUUCCCUAUAAGAAGAGUUCAACCCCAGAGCUGAACUUUUAAGGUGCAGUCAGGGAUAAUUUGAACACUGGGUUGUGUAUAUAUCAAAACAACUCCAGGGUGACGUAAGCAUUUUUUUUUUUUUUUUAAAUCCUCAACUAUCAAGGCUGACUGAUUCAAAAACAUCUGUCAUUUUCAGGUGGUUCUAUUGUUGUAUAAUUUAUCCAGGAUUUGGCUUUAUCAGAUUAUUUUUAAUUCCCUGAAAAUAAUUAAAAUAGAGCUUCUGAGAGUUCUAUACUAGCAACUCUUUCCAGGUCUAAGACCUAAUAAAUCAAAGAAACGAAAAAAAUAUAUAUUUAUUUUUUUCACUGCUGAAUAAAGUAAAUAUAUAUAUUUUUUGUUUGUUUCUCUUGAUCGAGGCGUGCUGAACUGUGCCUUUAAAUCCAAGGCACCUGCUUUUAAACUCUCCUGGAUUCUGUUUUGUUUUUGUUGGGGAAGGACACCACCAUUUCUCAGAAGAUGUCAUACGUCUGAAACAAACUCCACCUCAAAGCAGAGGUCACCAGUUUGAGUCAAACCCC